rnacentral:rRNA from 1 species
GACGAACGCUGGCGGCGUGCCUAAUACAUGCAAGUCGAGCGCACGGACGAGAAGUUUGCUUCCCUGAUGUUUGCCGCGGACGGGUGAGUAACAUGUGGAUAACCCACCUAUAAGACUGGGAUAACUUCGGGAAACUGGAGCUAAUACCGGAUUAUAUUUUGUACCGUAUGGUUCACAAGUGAAAGACGUUCUUGCUGUCACUUAUAGAUGUAUCCGCUGUGCAUUAGCUAGUUGGUAAGGUAACGGCUUACCAAGGCAACGAUGCAUAGCCGACCUGAGGGGGUGAGGGCACACGCUGGAACUGAGACACGGUCCAGACUCCUACGAGGGGCAACAGUGGGGAAUCUUGCGAAAUGGGCGAAAGCCUGACGGAGCAACGCCGCGUGAGAAAUGAGGGUCUGCGGAUCGAAAAACUGUGUUAUGAGGGAAGAGCAUGUGUGUAAGUAACUGUGCACAUCUUAAGGGAACCUAAUCAAAAGGCCAGGGCAAACUACGU